AGAGUUUGAUCAUGGCUCAGAACGAACGCUGGCGGCAGGCUUAACACAUGCAAGUCGAGCGCUGUAGCAAUACAGAGCGGCGCACGGGUGAGUAACACGUGGGAACGUGCCCUUUGGUUCGGAAUAACCCAGGGAAACUUGGGCUAAUACCGGAUAAGCCCUAACGGGGAAAGAUUUAUCGCCAUUGGAGCGGCCCGCGUCCGAUUAGCUUGUUGGUGAGGUAAAAGCUCACCAAGGCGACGAUCGGUAGCUGGUCUGAGAGGACGACCAGCCACACUGGGACUGAGACACGGCCCAGACUCCUACGGGAGGCAGCAGUGGGGAAUCUUGGACAAUGGGGGAAACCCUGAUCCAGCCAUGCCGCGUGAGUGAUGAAGGCCCUAGGGUUGUAAAACUCUUUCGGCGGGGACGAUAAUGACGGUACCCGCAGAAGAAGCUCCGGCUAACUUCGUGCCAGCAGCCGCGGUAAUAC
rnacentral:rRNA from 1 species